rnacentral:tRNA from 1 species
GCCGAGGUGUCGGAACUGGUAUACGAUCCGGUCUCAAAAACCGGUGACCGUAAGGUCGUGAGGGUUCAACUCCCUCCCUCGGCACCA